rnacentral:lncRNA from 1 species
AAAUAUCAUAGCUGCAGAGCUGUAAAGAAAACAUUUUCAUUUAGAAGAUUUAUAAUUAGGUAUUUUAUUAGAUUAUAUAAUCAAAGCCCGAGAUGACAUCUCAUUUGAGUAUCAUUUUAUACAAACAAAUUCUAAUUCAGCUGGAAAAAUGAAAACAGUUCAAAGUUAUAUGGGGAUAAAGUUCAGAUAUAAAGAAGUUGAGCUCUCUGAAGCUCUGCUCUUGUACUUCAUUCAGACUGAAAGAGACAUAGUUAACUAUACCGAGUUGUGUGGCAUUGUCUCAUGUUUAAAGUCUAAGCUGCUGGUCUCCUCUACACCUGUAGCUGACCAAACCUUUAGAGCAUAAAAACAUACAUGUAGCAGCUAAGUAAAUUCCCUUCAUGUAUACUUU